GAGGCCAGUGCUAGGCAGAAAAGGAGUGCUGACCGCCACCGCAGUGAGGCGCCGGUGUUCGCACCGGGUGACAGGGUCUGGCUCUCGACCCGGAACCUGUCUCUCCGCGUGCCCUGCCGGAAGCUGGGGCCGCAGUGUGUGGGGCCCUUCAAAGUCCUGAGGAGGAUAAACGAGUGUGUGCUAGGGUACCAGCCGGUCCUGGCCCCAUGGCACCAGAGCCAGACCGAGGCUCCUGCGGUGGAGGACUGGGUUCAGCACUCCAAGGAGACCUGGAAAGCAGUACAGGACUCACUGAAGGAGGCCAGUGCUAGGCAGAAAAGGAGUGCUGACCGCCACCGCAGUGAGGCGCCGGUGUUCGCACCGGGUGACAGGGUCUGGCUCUCGACUCGGAACCUGUCUCUCCGCGUGCCCUGCCGGAAGCUGGGGCCGCAGUGUGUGGGGCCCUUCAAAGUCCUGAGGAGGAUAAACGAGUGAAGCCCGGUCGCUGUGUCCUGCUCAAGGGGACCUACAUGUGUGCCGAGUACUGUUACAAAGAUGGCCAGUGCCCCGAGGAACAGAAGUGUUUCCGGAUAUGUUGAUUCUACGCCUGCAGUGAGCCAUUGAAGCUUUAUUGGAAAUUCUUAUUAGUUAUAAGAAAUAACUAGAAAAUUCAAAUUAUUACAUGUACAAUUAUGUCUAUGAAAACUGAUGACUUUAUGCAAUAAUAAAUAUGAAAAAUAAUCAUAGCUUUUAUGGAAACUGGACAAACUUCAUGGACGUUCUGUGAAUUGACAAACUCACGUGGAUUGCUGAAUUUGAAUAAAACCAGAUUUUGAAC
rnacentral:lncRNA from 1 species